GCUCGGGAGCGGUGAGGGACCUGCACCCGAGCCUGCUGCAGGGUGUGCAGCGGUGGCUCCAGACGCAGAGGACAGCGUGGCUGGGCUGCUCCUGCUGCCACCCGCCUCGGCCCAGCCAGGAUGAGGAUGGAGCAAGGCAGGAGGAGGACAGGCUGCUGCCUCUCCUGGGUGCUGAAUUGAAAGCCUCUGUCCUUGGGGCUUGUUUGCAGUGACCCACCCUGGGCUGGGAGAGCUGCUCUGGCUGCCCAGUCUCGAGGCAAACGAGGCACAGAAGGCUUUGGCCAUCCAGGGUCUCUGAGAGGAAGGAUGGAAGAUGAUGUGUUCCCCCCGAUCCUGCAGCCCUUUCUGCUGUGGACUCGGAUCCUCUGCUCCAGUGAGCCCUCGGAUCAGUGCAUCAGGGGCUGGCUUGGGCUUCACACACCUUUCAACACAAUUUUUGAUUCUCAAGGGUUCUUUUUCGCUCUCCUUCUCUGUGCAUGUUUUUGCAGGAGGGGACUGUUGCACAGCUGAGCAGUGGUGUCAGUGUGUGCCCCAUGCCCUUCAGCACUCACCAAAGGGAAGGUUGUCAGUGACUCCCCCCUGUUCCCCAAAUCCCUAGAUGGGUUGUCCUGGUCUCCCCCCGCCUGGCGGUGGUUGUAGAAAUGCUGAUGGUGUGUUUGUCAGCAGCUGUGCUACAUCACCCCUUGCCCACAUGGGUCCUGGGGCCUUGGGGGAUGCCUGGCCCCUGCCAUGGAGCCUUGGUCUGUGUUCCCAUCCAUCCUGCUGGGGAUGGUGAGCUGGAGCUGAGCCCCUGGGCGCUGGUUGCUGCCCUGGCUGGUCAUGCACAGAGUCCCACCCCUACCGUGUACCAGAGGCACUGCUUCACAGCUUGUGUAGAAAUGGGGAUGGCAGAUGUCAUAUUAAAUCAUGGGGUUAUCAUUUAUUUAUAGGUGAUUACAUUAAAGAGAGAUUAAUAUAGCCGAAGGCUUCGCAGAAUUAGA